CACGUGCUCAAGAAACUCGGUUCAGGUAAAGUCAUUCUUUUAGUGACAUUCACCAGAAGCGGAUGGUAAAGGUCGACUCACAUACAACAGUGCAGUGGCACUGCCGUAACCGGCACGUGAUUUCACCGGCGAGAUGGAAAUUAUUGUUGGUGUUGGUAUUAAUUUAAGUGGACGUAUUCAUAUCUGCCCGACGCACGACCGUGACAGUGCAACAGUGAUGUGACCGGCAAGCAAACGUGAAUUUUAGAUUAGUUCCCGACGAUAUUUUUGGACUUCACGGCCGGCCAGUGAAAGUUUUUUUUGCAAUAAAACAUGAAUGAUGAGAAGCUUAUUGAUUUGGUCCAUGGAUAUGCCGUCUUGUAUGACAUGUGCAACUCUAAAUAUAUGAACCCUGACUUUAAAAAUGCAAUAUGGACUAAAGUAGGAGCAGAAAUGAAGAUGGAUGGGUCUGUCUGUAAUGCUCGAUAGGCCAAUAUUAGAGACAACUUUAGAAAAUCUUUGAAUAAACAAAAGACUAGAAGUGGUCAACAAGCAACGAAAGUAAAGCCAUACAAAUAUUCUGAGCAGUUGAGCUUUUUGAAGAAAUUCUUUGAGGAGAGGGAGACUAAAACAAGCAUUGAUGAGGAAGUAGAUAUCAAAAAUUUAACUGGUUAUACAGGAAGUGAAGAUAUAUCCAAAAAUAAACAAAAUACUCAAACUGAAGGCUGUCCAACAUCAGAAGUUAACGAUGACGUGACUACACAAUUAGAAAGUCAAAUUUCGUUGAAAUCAACACUAACAGGAACCAUUCUACGAAAAAUUCGAAAGCUGUCAGUACCAAACCCUACUGCUCCACCUAAAACGGCCGCCGCCACAGUUAUGGAGUAUAUUGUUGAACGAAAUAAAAGUAUGAGGUCACCACUCACUCACCACUAACGCAGCAUCCUGUUGAUGCUUUUUUAGCAGGAAUGGCCCCAUCUUUAAAAAAAAUAUCUGUACAAGACUGGUGUUACGCAAAAGGUGAAAUACUUAAUAUUGUUCAAAAAUAUGAACUAAAUUUGCUGAACCAACAGCAACAGUAUACAGCGUCAACGAGUUCUAAUCAAGUCUGUUCGAAUGUACAACCUUCCCCUGCAGGAAGCUACCAGUCUUCAUGGGAUGACCAACAAUCAACCAUAUCUAGUGAUCACUCUGAGGAGAAUCCAGCACCAGAUUUAACAUUGAGGGAGUAUUUUCAAACCCUUCCUUAGAAAUAUUAUUAUAUUAUUAAUAUUCAGAAAAAAAUAAGUUUUAAAUC